rnacentral:rRNA from 1 species
UGAAGGAAUACCGGUGGCGAAGGCGGCCCCCUGGACAGAUACUGACACUCAGAUGCGAAAGCGUGGGGAGCAAACAGGAUUAGAUACCCUGGUAGUCCACGCCGUAAACGAUGUCUACUUGGAGGUUGUGGCCUUGAGCCGUGGCUUUCGGAGCUAACGCGUUAAGUAGACCGCCUGGGGAGUACGGUCGCAAGAUUAAAACUCAAAUGAAUUGACGGGGGCCCGCACAAGCGGUGGAGCAUGUGGUUUAAUUCGAUGCAACGCGAAGAACCUUACCUACUCUUGACAUCCAGAGAACUUUCCAGAGAUGGAUUGGUGCCUUCGGGAACUCUGAGACAGGUGCUGCAUGGCUGUCGUCAGCUCGUGUUGUGAAAUGUUGGGUUAAG